UUUUAUUAUGUUCUCAUUGUUUGAAAGACCUUGAGUGUUAUCUGUUCUCCCGACAGGAUCCUGACUGACAUGAUACUGACAGCAAAAACGAGAUAUUGUGGAAUUCACUUGAUCUUCAUCUGAAUUCUCAGGCCAUCAGAUUGAGACAGAGCCUCCUGUCACCCGAAAACAACUGGGGAGUUAUAAUUGGAAAUAUGUGUGUCUUGCUGUCUAUCAAAUCCUUUCGCUUUCCUUUUAGACGCUCAGCUAGACUUGAUUUCCCAAUCAUAUAGUAGAUUCCUGGCUAGUGGAAUAGGGGUAGAAUUUAUGCCUGCAAUUUCCAGGGCUGUUUCAUAAAAAUCUUCUUUCUCUCUUUCUUCUUUCUGCUGGCUGGACUUUAUCACUCAGGACAACACUGGCUGUACAUGUUGAGGAGGUCAGAGCCUCUGUCUCCCUGGGUCCUAAACUGGUGAACUAGAGCAGACUCUUCCCACAUCAGCCACACUACCAGUUGGACUUGAUAUGAAUGAGAGAUAAACAUUAUGGUCCAGCACUAUCAACUACUCAAGUUUUGUCAGCCAAUGGAUGAAAACUGUUUGCUAAUAAUGAAAAGGAGGGCACAUAGAAAUGCAAUAGCUAUUUCAGAACAUUUCAACUCAGGGCAGGGCAGUAGCUCUCACCGGUCACACUGGGGGUAUACUGUGGAGUCUCUGACACUUCCCUUCUUACACAGUGUACUGUUCUGUAUGAUGUAUUCUCCUUUUUGACUUAGUAAUUUAUUUUAGAGAUGCAUAAUGUAUAAUAAAUAGACAACCUCCCAGAGCUGUAGAAAAGGAUAUG
rnacentral:lncRNA from 1 species